UGGGAACGUACCCUUCAGUUCGGAACAACCCAGGGAAACUUGGGCUAAUACCGAAUACGUCCGUAAGGAGAAAGAUUUAUCGCUGAAGGAUCGGCCCGCGUCUGAUUAGCUAGUUGGUGAGGUAACGGCUCACCAAGGCUACGAUCAGUAGCUGGUCUGAGAGGAUGAUCAGCCUCACUGGGACUGAGACAUGGCCCAGACUCCUACGGGAGGCAG
rnacentral:rRNA from 1 species